rnacentral:rRNA from 1 species
GAUGAACGCUGGCGGCGUGCCUAAUACAUGCAAGUCGAGCGAAUGGAUUAAGAGCUUGCUCUUAUGAAGUUAGCGGCGGACGGGUGAGUAACACGUGGGUAACCUGCCCAUAAGACUGGGAUAACUCCGGGAAACCGGGGCUAAUACCGGAUAACAUUUUGAACCGCAUGGUUCGAAAUUGAAAGGCGGCUUCGGCUGUCACUUAUGGAUGGACCCGCGUCGCAUUAGCUAGUUGGUGAGGUAACGGCUCACCAAUGCAACGAUGCGUAGCCGACCUGAGAGGGUAGUCGGCCGCACUGGGACUGAGACACGGCCCAGACUCCUACGGGAGGCAGCAGUAGGGAAGCUUCCGCAAUGGACGAAAGUCUGACGGAGCAACUCCGCGUGAGUGAUGAAGGCUUUCGGGUCGUAAAACUCUGUUGUUAGGGAAGAACAAGUGCUAGUUGAAUAAGCUGGCACCUUGACGGUACCUAACCAGAAAGCCACGGCUAACUACGUGCCAGCCGCCGCAGUAA